ensembl:piRNA 21ur-1277 ncRNA
UUCGACAGGUUUCUGACAAAA